GGACUACGAGUCCCAGAAGGACGUGCGGCACCACGGACUCACGCAGGCGCGUUCCAUCGCUCGUUCAGUAAACCUGUUGAACCUAGCGCUGUUAGACCCUGAGACCUCAGAAGAAAACACGUAGUUUCUGUUCUCGAGGGUAAGGUCCGAGCCUGAACCGUGCACGAAACCAGAAACAUACGAAGAAAGUUAAGCUAAAGCUUGGGAGCCACUGCAGGGAAAAAUCAAUCACGUGACAGACAACAGUAAAGAAGAAGGACUUGAUUUUCAAAAAUGAUUCUCCGUGGUUCCACAGAAUGGUGUGCUGUGCAAGGUCAAGCCCACUUUAUUCCUGGUCAGUGCCCAGAGGCCCAGAGGAGGAAGGGUGUGGCCUAGACUGCCCUGGGGAGGCUCCCUGGAGGAGGUGAGUCACUGGGGAGGACUUGAAGAAGCACAAGGAGGCCAAUGGGGGUGGGAGUGUGAGAAGAUGAUCCUGGGGUGAGGCAUGGCGCCCCCUGCUAUACGGAUACUGGGAAAGAGGGAGAGACAUCUGCCUGACUGUCUCUUCCAAGGUCACUACUAAGCCCUGGACACAUGGACCUGCCUUCACCUCCUGCCUAUCUCUCAGGAUGGCAGAGGGGCCCCACCCCAUAGCAGAUACCUGGAG